UACAGAGGAGCCAAGCGUUGUCCGGAUUGACUGGGCGUAAAGCGCACGCAGGCGGACGCGCGCGUGGGGUGUGAAAUCUGGCCGCUUAACGGCCAGGCGCCAUCCCAUACGGCGCGUCUGGAGUGAUGCAGAGGUCGAUGGAAUUGCCGGUGUAGUGGUGAAAUGCGUAGAGAUCGGCAGGAACACCCAGGGGGAGACCAGGCGACUGGGCAUCUACUGACGCUGAGGUGCGAGAGCGUGGGGAGCGAACCGG
rnacentral:rRNA from 1 species